GGCUUGAUGGUCUAGUAGUAUGAUUCCUUGUUAGGGUGACCACCGCAUGUCGUGUUUAUCGAGGAGGUCCUGGGUUCAAUUCCCAGUCAAGCUC